CUGAGUUAUUUAAAUUAAGAAGCUCAUAUAGUAGUUCCAACAGCGUGCUAUAAUUUUUGUUGACUCAAAAAAACCCUUUAUUCUAAGAAAUAUUCCACUACUGCCUCAAGUCUUUUAGGAAAGAGGAAGAAACAUUCUGUUAACAUUACAUUCUACUUGUUUUCUGCCAGUUCUUUUCAAUUCUUGGUAAGUUUUAAAUUUUAAUAUAAAAAUUUUAUUGUGUGCUUAUUAUUUAUGAAUGUAUUAAUCUAUUUUUGUGACAUCCACGAACAAACAUUCUACUAACAUUCUGUUCCACUUGUUUUCUGCCAGUUCAUUUCAACUCUUGAUAUGUUUAUCUUCCCUUUACAAAGCACACCAAUAGAAAAAUGUGCUUUGUGCUGAAUACUAAAUUGAAAAUGAAUAAUACUCCUCACCCACCUUUGAUUUUACAGGUAUUGUCUUUAGUGAAAGGCAACGUGCCGCUAAUAAAUUAUCACAUCAGCAGCUUUACUGCAAUGCACCAAAGAGCAGAAUAGCUCAACAGCCGAUAUUUCUGUCCCACA
rnacentral:lncRNA from 10 species